rnacentral:misc_RNA from 1 species
AAAUGGAGGAGAGCUCUUAAAAUGGUGGUUCGGCCAUAUGUGUUCCAAGGAAGAAAAUGAUUCAAUUUUGUUUAAUUUAAUUUCUUUUAUCCCUUUUAUAAGUGUUUGUCUCUUUUUAAUUGGUUAGAGAUUUUAAUUGCAUCAUUAUGACAUCAUGCAUAUGUCAUAAUUAGGAUUAAAUUUCAUUUUUUUUAUUUUCUUUUCUUCUUUUCUCUAC